AUGAGUUGCCUCUCAUGGAACUGCCGGGGGCUUGGGAACCCCGAGGCGGUUCGAGAGCUUCGCAGCAUUGUGAAGCUAGAAGGACCCACUCUUCUCUUCAUCAUGGAAACAAAAAUUAAAGGAAAGAGAGUUGAGGACUUGCAAAGACAUCUAGGCUUCGGCGGGUGCUUUGCAGUGGAUAGUGUUGGCCUAAGUGGUGGCAUUGGGCUGUUUUGGUCGCAUAAUGCUAUUGUUGAUAUCAAAAAUUAUAGUUCUAGUCACAUUGAUGUUUCUGUUAAAUUUAAAGAGCAAAACUCCUUUCAAUGGAGGUUUACUGGUUUCUAUGGGGCGCCUCGAGCUGAAGAUAGGCAUCAUAGUUGGCGUUUCCUACGCACUUUGUAUAACAUGCCGCACGUUGCAUGGAUAUGUUUGGGUGAUUUUAACGAAACUCUCUUCUCUAAUGAACAUUUUAGUCGGGCUGCUAGGCCAGAGAGACAGAUGAGAGCGUUCAAAGAAGUUACUGAUGAAGUGGCUCUCCAAGAUUUUGGGUGGUCAGGCACUGCGUACGCCUGGGACAAUCGGCAAGCGGGUAACGCGAAUGUUAAGGCAAGGCUGGACAGAGUCUUUGCCAAUGAAGAGUUCCGGCAACAUUUUCAAUACAUCAGAAUCAGGCACGUUCCUUCUGUCGAAUCUGAUCAUUUGUUGUAG
rnacentral:rRNA from 1 species